UACAGAGGUCUCGAGCGUUGUUCGGAUUCAUUGGGCGUAAAGGGCGUGUAGGCGGCGGGGUAAGUCUGGUGUGAAAUCUAGGAGCUCAACUCCUAAACUGCACUGGAUACUGCUCUGCUGGAGGACUGGAGAGGAGACUGGAAUUCACGGUGUAGCAGUGAAAUGCGUAGAUAUCGUGAGGAAGACCAGUGGCGAAGGCGGGUCUCUGGACAGUUCCUGACGCUGAGGCGCGAAGGCCAGGGGAGCAAACGGG
rnacentral:rRNA from 1 species